CCUACUUGUUAGGUGACUGCGUACCUUUUGUAUAAUGGGUCAGCGACUUAUAUUCAGUGGCAAGCUUAACCGUAUAGGGUAGGCGUAGCGAAAGCGAGUCUUAAUAGGGCGUUUAGUCGCUGGGUAUAGACCCGAAACCGGGCGAUCUAUCCAUGAGCAGGUUGAAGGUUAGGUAACACUGACUGGAGGACCGAACCCACUCCCGUUGAAAAGGUAGGGGAUGACUUGUGGAUCGGAGUGAAAGGCUAAUCAAGCUCGGAGAUAGCUGGUUCUCCUCGAAAGCUAUUUAGGUAGCGCCUCAUGUAUCACUCUGGGGGGUAGAGCACUGUUUCGGCUAGGGGGUCAUCCCGACUUACCAAACCGAUGCAAACUCCGAAUACCCAGAAGUGCCGAGCAUGGGAGACACACGGCGGGUGCUAACGUCCGUCGUGAAAAGGGAAACAACCCAGACCGCCAGCUAAGGUCCCAAAGUUGUGGUUAAGUGGUAAACGAUGUGGGAAGGCUUAGACAGCUAGGAGGUUGGCUUAGAAGCAGCCAUCCUUUAAAGAAAGCGUAAUAGCUCACUAGUCGAGUCGGCCUGCGCGGAAGAUGUAACGGGGCUCAAACCACACACCGAAGCUGCGGGUGUCACGUAAGUGACGCGGUAGAGGAGCGUUCUGUAAGCCUGUGAAGGUGAGUUGAGAAGCUUGCUGGAGGUAUCAGAAGUGCGAAUGCUGACAUGAGUAACGACAAUGGGUGUGAAAAACACCCACGCCGAAAGACCAAGGGUUCCUGCGCAACGUUAAUCGACGCAGGGUUAGUCGGUUCCUAAGGCGAGGCUGAAAAGCGUAGUCGAUGGGAAACAGGUUAAUAUUCCUGUACUUCUGGUUACUGCGAUGGAGGGACGGAGAAGGCUAGGCCAGCUUGGCGUUGGUUGUCCAAGUUUAAGGUGGUAGGCUGAAAUCUUAGGUAAAUCCGGGGUUUCAAGGCCGAGAGCUGAUGACGAGUCGUCUUUUAGAUGACGAAGUGGUUGAUGCCAUGCUUCCAAGAAAAGCUUCUAAGCUUCAGGUAACCAGGAACCGUACCCCAAACCGACACAGGUGGUCGGGUAGAGAAUACCAAGGCGCUUGAGAGAACUCGGGUGAAGGAACUAGGCAAAAUGGCACCGUAACUUCGGGAGAAGGUGCGCCGGCUAGGGUGAAGGAUUUACUCCGUAAGCUCUGGCUGGUCGAAGAUACCAGGCCGCUGCGACUGUUUAUUAAAAACACAGCACUCUGCAAACACGAAAGUGGACGUAUAGGGUGUGACGCCUGCCCGGUGCCGGAAGGUUAAUUGAUGGGGUUAGCGCAAGCGAAGCUCUUGAUCGAAGCCCCGGUAAACGGCGGCCGUAACUAUAACGGUCCUAAGGUAGCGAAAUUCCUUGUCGGGUAAGUUCCGACCUGCACGAAUGGCGUAACGAUGGCGGCGCUGUCUCCACCCGAGACUCAGUGAAAUUGAAAUCGCUGUGAAGAUGCAGUGUAUCCGCGGCUAGACGGAAAGACCCCGUGAACCUUUACUGUAGCUUUGCACUGGACUUUGAGCCUGCUUGUGUAGGAUAGGUGGGAGGCUUUGAAGCGUGGACGCCAGUUCGCGUGGAGCCAUCCUUGAAAUACCACCCUGGCAUGCUUGAGGUUCUAACUCUGGUCCGUAAUCCGGAUCGAGGACAGUGUAUGGUGGGCAGUUUGACUGGGGCGGUCUCCUCCUAAAGAGUAACGGAGGAGUACGAAGGUGCGCUCAGACCGGUCGGAAAUCGGUCGCAGAGUAUAAAGGCAAAAGCGCGCUUGACUGCGAGACAGACACGUCGAGCAGGUACGAAAGUAGGUCUUAGUGAUCCGGUGGUUCUGUAUGGAAGGGCCAUCGCUCAACGGAUAAAAGGUACUCCGGGGAUAACAGGCUGAUACCGCCCAAGAGUUCAUAUCGACGGCGGUGUUUGGCACCUCGAUGUCGGCUCAUCACAUCCUGGGGCUGAAGCCGGUCCCAAGGGUAUGGCUGUUCGCCAUUUAAAGUGGUACGCGAGCUGGGUUUAGAACGUCGUGAGACAGUUCGGUCCCUAUCUGCCGUGGACGUUUGAGAUUUGAGAGGGGCUGCUCCUAGUACGAGAGGACCGGAGUGGACGAACCUCUGGUGUUCCGGUUGUCACGCCAGUGGCAUUGCCGGGUAGCUAUGUUCGGAAAAGAUAACCGCUGAAAGCAUCUAAGCGGGAAACUUGCCUCAAGAUGAGAUCUCACUGGGAACUUGAUUCCCCUGAAGGGCCGUCGAAGACUACGACGUUGAUAGGCUGGGUGUGUAAGCGUUGUGAGGCGUUGAGCUAACCAGUACUAAUUGCCCGUGAGGCUUGACC
rnacentral:rRNA from 1 species